UACGAAGGGGGCUAGCGUUGCUCGGAAUCACUGGGCGUAAAGGGUGCGUAGGCGGGUCUUUAAGUCAGGGGUGAAAUCCUGGAGCUCAACUCCAGAACUGCCUUUGAUACUGAAGAUCUUGAGUUCGGGAGAGGUGAGUGGAACUGCGAGUGUAGAGGUGAAAUUCGUAGAUAUUCGCAAGAACACCAGUGGCGAAGGCGGCAUCCUGGACCAAUACUGACGCUGAGUGAGCGAAAGCCAGGGGAGCAAACGGG
rnacentral:rRNA from 1 species